rnacentral:rRNA from 1 species
AUGAACGCUGGCGGCGUGCCUCAUGCAUGCAAGUCGCGCGAACAGACGAGGAGCUUGCUCCUUUGACGUUAGCGGCGGACGGGUGAGUAACACGUAGGUAACCUACCUAUAAGACUGGGAUAACUUCGGGAAACCGGAGCUAAUACCGGAUAAUAUUUCGAACCGCAUGGUUCGAUAGUGAAAGAUGGCUUUGCUAUCACUUAUAGAUGGACCUGCGCCGUAUUAGCUAGUUGGUAAGGUAACGGCUUACCAAGGCAACGAUACGUAGCCGACCUGAGAGGGUGAUCGGCCACACUGGAACUGAGACACGGUCCAGACUCCUACGGGAGGCAGCAGUAGGGAAUCUUCCGCAAUGGGCGAAAGCCUGACGGAGCAACGCCGCGUGAGUGAUGAAGGUCUUCGGAUCGUAAAACUCUGUUAUUAGGGAAGAACAAACGUGUAAGUAACUGUGCACGUCUUGACGGUACCUAAUCAGAAAGCCACGGCUAACUACGUG